rnacentral:rRNA from 1 species
AGGAUAAUACGUGAACAUAAACCCUSCCCUAACCAGGUAUGGCGGGCGGGGGACGUGUGAUACAUCGUAACGGGUGUAAUGGGAAUAGGUGCACGUUCAGACCACCGCAACAAAACGGGAAGAAAGCGUGUUUCGGCACCAACUUUUCGGGUGGCUCUUGCUGUGUGCUUCUGACCUAUCAACUAGAUGGCAGCGUAACGGACAUGCUAUGGUGACAACAGGUACAGA